UUACCUACUGAAAUGUUUGUAUUUUGUAAUUUUGUGGUGAGAUAAGGAAUAUUAUUAUUUUCCGUGAAUUGUUAACAUCCUAUUAUUUAUGAGUAACCUUAACCAUAAUUAUCAUAAUAAUUUAAACGUUUCCCUAUCAGCUUAAUUUAAUUUAUUUACAGUUGGAAACUCUUGGUAACUGGUACUUUUUAGUUUCACGAAAGUGCAGUUCAAAUAAAAAUGGGGUGUGUAGUUAAUAAUAUUAUAGUGAAGUAUAUUUUGCUUGCCGUUAAUACGUUAUACUCUAUAUUGGGUAUUGGAGUAAUAGCGAUUGGUGCACUGUUACUGGCGUACCAGUCUGAAAUUGAGAUAUUGAUCGCGCACAAAUAUUCCCUGGAUGUUUAUCGCGGUGUAUCGAUUGUGGUCAUCGUCUGCGGAUGCUUUUUGUUUUUUGUAGCCCUUUUUGGUUGCUGUGGAGUUAUAGCAGAAAAUCCACGUCUUCUUUUAGGGUUCGCGUUAUUUAUGACAAUAUUACUGGCCGCUAAGAUUUAUGUGGUUGUAAAAAUAUGUAGCCCAACGUUCAAAGAAUCAGUCGUAGGUAAACUGGAUAAUGCAUUGGCACGUGAUCCCAAAGCACAAAUUCAUUUAAUUGAAAGUGGGUUAAAAUGUUGCGGGACCAUGGGUUCGGAAUCAUAUGAAAAACUGAAUAUAACAAUACUGCCAACAACUUGCUGCCCUACCGAAACGCAAUUCUUCAGAACCCGACCAAGACCAUGUUUCAAAGAAAACGCCUACAAUGGAUGCCUAAAAAUAUUUAUUAAUGCACUCUACUAUGCUGUUUUGACAUUUAUAAUCAUCGAGGCUGUCGGCGUGAUUUUCGCUUCGUGCCUGAUCUGCGACCUAAAUGCAGGGAGAAAAUAAAAAUAAUUAUUGACAUCCUUAUGACUAUUGAUAUAAUAAUAAUUGAUAACCCGCUUGGGACCAACAUUGGAUUAAAAAUG